GAGUACGUGAGCAGUUUUGUGACCAUGUUAUUUAAGGAACAAUAGAUAAUUAUUAGAGACACUUCACAGAAUGUUCACUUGGAUAUGGAUUGUCUUGUGUGAGAAAGGUUGAAACGGGUGGGGGUGUGCUCAUUGUAACUUAAAACAAUGAGAGCUCAUCACACUGAAACAUAAAAAUCCUGAGGGGGUGUGGCAGCCGUGUGUUGGAAAGAUGAUCCUGCUUGUAGUAAAGUCUGGGACCAAAACACACCAACGCAAAAUAAGGUGGAGGUGGCAUUUAUGAAUGAGACAAGGAAGAAUAUCUUCCCUCAAAUAUCGGUGACUUAUCUGAAUUCCUUAUCCCAGGAAAGGCUGAAUCGUUGAAUAUAUUCAAAGUGGAGAAAAAUGUAUGAUCUGUAAAAGAAUUGAGUGUAAUGGGACAGGGUGGGAGAGCAGAUUUGGAACGUUGUAUUAGCCAUGGUUUUAUUGAGCAUGAGAGAGGCUCAAGUGCUGAAUGGCCUGCUCCUGUUCCAACUUCCUACUGUCUCCGUCACACCAUUAACUUGUUUAAAGCUUAUUUUUUUAAAACAAACUGUCUAUUUUGAUAUAAUCUACAAAUUGCAACAUUUCUGCUUAUUAUUAAUUUGACUAUCUUGAUGUAAUCAGUGUUUUCUGUUGCACCAGUGACCAGUGGCCGUUGCAAUUUCAUUAUAUUGAGCAACCCCUAGUUAUUCAGAAUAUAAAUUACAGAGCAAAUAGAAGACACCAAGAAAAACCAACUGAAUCAGAAAGGCAAGGCUCGAGAAGACUGGAACUCCGACAAUGAACUACAGAGUUAGUGCUACACUCCUGCUGCUGCUUGGAAUUUGUGCAGCUUUGUCUAUGGCGGCUCAUAAAAAUAUCAAUUUAGGAUCACGAUGUAGGUGCAGUACGUUUCAAACAAAUCGCAUGUUCGUGGAUAAUAUUCAUAAAAUUGAAAUCAUCGCUGCGAACAAAGAGUGCAAUUACGUGGAAAUCAUAGCUCAUCAGAUUAACCCACGUAAAGAAGUUUGUUUGAGUGGGAAGGCUGCCUGGGUGAAGAUGCUUAUUAGUGACUUACUGACCAAAACUGCAAAGUAGGAUACAUUUUGAAGGGCUUCAUUGCCACAAUGGUAUCCUGAGGUGAUGAAACAGGUUUUAUACCUACAAAUGUUUUUUUGGUGAAGUGAUUUUAAUUCUAAAUAAAAAGGAUUGUAUCUCUGAUAAUGAUUUAAGCAUUAAAUACAUGGCAUUCUAAAAUGUAUUUGUCUGUUCCUAAAUAUAAUGCCAAAUCUUCUAUCUCUUCCCUAUAAGGGAAAGUCUCCAAUAUUAACUCAUAGAAUGAGGUUGACAGCAGAUCAUUCAGCACAGGUGUCUUUGCUGGUUAUGUAUAAGUGAUAUUCAAGUAUUCUCACCUCUAGCUCUUCAACUCCCAACCACCACCAAAACUCCGCCACCAUUUCAGGUAUUUUCAAAGCCAUGCAAAUUUCUCUGCUUUGAUAGUUCUGGAGGUGAUUGAGCUUUUCUGAUCUGAUGACAUUGUAAAUCCAGGGGCACGGUACUACACCCGACUCUGUUUUUCCAGACACAUCUUUCCAGCCACUGCUCCAUUCUUUUCAGGGUCUCUAUUGCUUUGUCAUUCGCCUUUUCUCUGUCGGUAACACAAGGAACAUUAAAUUAGAGUAACCAGAGAAAUGUGGACGAAUGGCCUUUAGUUUAAGAACAUACUUCAUAUUAUUUUCAGCUAUAAGCAGCAUUGCACAGCAAGAAAUGUGUCUGUCAAGAGCUUGCUAUAUUAUAUGUAUGAAAAACUGCGUGCGUGCAAGUUUUGUUAAUAAACUGCUUUGAAUCCAAUAAUCGUAUCCUGGUCAUCAUUUUAAAGAGACACAGGGAGAUUGAUAUGGAACACCAAAGUAUCCCCUCCACAUGUCCAAGGCAGUGCAAGGAGUGGUCUUGUGUGUUCUGUUGCUGAGGUACGAUUAGAUUUGUUCAGGUCAGUUCAAGAACCUGUCGGUGUAAGAGAGUCACUAUUCCUGAACCUGGUGUAGUGAUCGAUGAUUCUAACCAGGAGCGUCUAGGACCAGGGGUCGUAGCCUCAGAAUAAAAUGGUGUUUCUUUAGGAAGUAGAUAAGGAGGAAUGUCUUUAGUCAGAGGGUGGUGAAUCUGUGAAAUUCAUUGCCACAGAA